UUUUUUAUUUCAGAUACAGACAGCGACAAGUCGGAAACGAAUGUAUCUUUACGUUAACCAGCUUUACGCACUGUUUCCCCCCUCAUAUCGAAACAGGUGUUCACAUUAUGAAUUAGCUGUUUACAUCAGCGCACCCAAGUAGUCGUCUCAGGUUGUCAUCGAGCUAAAGACUGUAAGCCAACAUGAGUCCAGAAGGAAAGACCCUGCUGAACAUCAUAAUCCUGGGCUUGGGGUUCAUGGUUAUGUUUACUGCCUUCGGCACGUGCGGGAAUAUUGAACAAACCGUAAUAAAGAGUUUCAACAGUACAGAGUUUCAUGGAAGUGGCUACACAAG